AUUCGAUUAGAGUUUGAUCAUGGCUCAGGAUGAACGCCGGCGGUGUGCCUAAUACAUGCAAGUCGAACGCGUUGGCCCAAUUGAUUGAUGAUGCUUGCACCUGAUUGAUUUUGGUUGCCAGCGAGUGGCGGACGGGUGAGUAACACGUAGGUAACCUGCCCAGAAGCGGGGGACAACAUUUGGAAACAGAUGCUAAUACCGCAUAACAGCGUUGUUCGCAUGAACAACGCUUAAAAGAUGGCUUCUCGCUAUCACUUCUGGAUGGACCUGCGGUGCAUUAGCUUGUUGGUGGGGUAACGGCCUACCAAGGCGAUGAUGCAUAGCCGAGUUGAGAGACUGAUCGGCCACAAUGGGACUGAGACACGGCCCAUACUCCUACGGGAGGCAGCAGUAGGGAAUCUUCCACAAUGGGCGCAAGCCUGAUGGAGCAACACCGCGUGAGUGAAGAAGGGUUUCGGCUCGUAAAGCUCUGUUGUUAAAGAAGAACACGUAUGAGAGUAACUGUUCAUACGUUGACGGUAUUUAACCAGAAAGUCACGGCUAACUACGUGCCAGCAGCCGCGGUAAUACGUAGGUGGCAAGCGUUAUCCGGAUUUAUUGGGCGUAAAGAGAGUGCAGGCGGUUUUCUAAGUCUGAUGUGAAAGCCUUCGGCUUAACCGGAGAAGUGCAUCGGAAACUGGAUAACUUGAGUGCAGAAGAGGGUAGUGGAACUCCAUGUGUAGCGGUGGAAUGCGUAGAUAUAUGGAAGAACACCAGUGGCGAAGGCGGCUACCUGGUCUGCAACUGACGCUGAGACUCGAAAGCAUGGGUAGCGAACAGGAUUAGAUACCCUGGUAGUCCAUGCCGUAAACGAUGAGUGCUAGGUGUUGGAGGGUUUCCGCCCUUCAGUGCCGGAGCUAACGCAUUAAGCACUCCGCCUGGGGAGUACGACCGCAAGGUUGAAACUCAAAGGAAUUGACGGGGGCCCGCACAAGCGGUGGAGCAUGUGGUUUAAUUCGAAGCUACGCGAAGAACCUUACCAGGUCUUGACAUCUUGCGCCAACCCUAGAGAUAGGGCGUUUCCUUCGGGAACGCAAUGACAGGUGGUGCAUGGUCGUCGUCAGCUCGUGUCGUGAGAUGUUGGGUUAAGUCCCGCAACGAGCGCAACCCUUGUUACUAGUUGCCAGCAUUAAGUUGGGCACUCUAGUGAGACUGCCGGUGACAAACCGGAGGAAGGUGGGGACGACGUCAGAUCAUCAUGCCCCUUAUGACCUGGGCUACACACGUGCUACAAUGGACGGUACAACGAGUCGCGAACUCGCGAGGGCAAGCAAAUCUCUUAAAACCGUUCUCAGUUCGGACUGCAGGCUGCAACUCGCCUGCACGAAGUCGGAAUCGCUAGUAAUCGCGGAUCAGCAUGCCGCGGUGAAUACGUUCCCGGGCCUUGUACACACCGCCCGUCACACCAUGAGAGUUUGUAACACCCAAAGUCGGUGGGGUAACCUUUUAGGAGCCAGCCGCCUAAGGUGGGACAGAUGAUUAGGGUGAAGUCGUAACAAGGUAGCCGUAA
rnacentral:rRNA from 1 species